GAUAGGAGUAGUUCAGGCAUACUCCAGAAAGGAGGCCUCCUCUGUAACCCAGUCAGUCUGGAUCCACCCCCCUCCAAACUUCCAUACACAAUACAGUUGAGAGUUGCAACAAACAGGUGCCAGAGCACCAGGGGAGGAGAGAAAGUCAGCUGCAUCUCUGCCUGACAGUUCCUUUUACUAAGCAGUGAAAGCUCCUCUUCUUUGACUCUCUCCCAAACUUACAGCUGAAGUUAACAUGUAGUGGAAAAAGUGCAGGGUUUCAAUUACUGCAGUCAUAAUGAGAAAGAGAGACAAUCCAAGCCAAUGCCAGCAAAACUGUGUUUUGCAGGAGACUGCUUGCCUGCAGCUCCAUGAUUUUCUGUGAAUCACCCAUUUUAAUAAACUAAUAUCUUUGAGGA